rnacentral:rRNA from 1 species
AAGUGCCUCCGGUGCGACGACGGUCUAAGUCUCCUGGAACGGUGCGUCAUAGAGGGUGAGAAUCCCGUAUGCGACCGCCAGUCAAACCGAUGCGAGGCCCUUUCGAAGAGUCGAGUUGUUUGGGAAUGCAGCUCAAAAUGGGUGGUAAAUUUCAUCUAAAGCUAAAUACCGGCCAGAGACCGAUAGCGCACAAGUAGAGUGAUCGAAAGAUGAAAAGCACUUUGGAAAGAGAGUUAAAAAGCAUGUGAAAUUGUUGAAGGGGAAGSGCUUGCAACCAGACUCGUUUCGCGGGUGAUCAACCUUUUUCCCUUUCGGGGGGCUGGUGCACUCAUCCGCAAUCGGGCCAGCAUCGAUUUCGGCCGUCGGAAGAAGGUUUGGGGAACGUAGCUCUCUCCGGGGAGUGUUAUAGCCCCUUUCGUAAUGCGGCGAGUCGGGAUCGAGGACCGCGCCUUUUUUGCUAGGAUGCUGGCGUAAUGGUUGCCAGCGACCCGUCUUGAAACACGGACCAAGGAGUCGACCAACCAUGCGAGUGUUUGGGCAUCAAACCCACACGCGUAAUGAAAGUGAACGGAGGUGGGAACCCCCUUCCGGGGGCGCACCAUCGACCGAUCCUGAUGUCUUCGGAUGGAUUUGAGUAUGAGCAUUUUUGGUCGGACCCGAAAGAUGAUGAACUAUGCCUGAGUAGGGUGAAGUCAGGGGAAACCCUGAUGGAGGCUCGCAGCGGUUCUGACGUGCAAAUCGAUCGUCAAACUUGGGUAUAGGGGCGAAAGACUAAUCGAAUCAUCUAGUAGCUGGUUCCUGCCGAAGUUUCCCUCAGGAUAGCAGUAACUUUUUUCAGUUUUAUGAGGUAAAGCGAAUGAUUAGAGGUCUGGGGGCAGAAACUGCCUUCACCUAUUCUCAAACUUUGAAUAUGUAAGAAGUCCUUGUUGCUUAGUUGAACGUGGACAUUUGAAUGUACAGU